rnacentral:rRNA from 1 species
CGCACGGGUGCGUAACGCGUAUGCAACCUACCAUCAACAGGGGGAUAACACUGAGAAAUUGGUACUAAUACCCCAUAAUAUCUCAUGCGGCAUCGCAUGGGGUUGAAAACUCCGGUGGUUGAUGAUGGGCAUGCGUUGUAUUAGCUGGUUGGUGAGGUAACGGCUCACCAAGGCGACGAUACAUAGGGGGACUGAGAGGUUAACCCCCCACAUUGGUACUGAGACACGGACCGAACUCCUACGGAAGGCAGCAG